GCAUCAGUUAUGAGACCUCACGUUGUAUUGAAGAGAUCUGAAUACCUAAAAAUCAUGCUCAAGGGGAUUACACUGAGGCCC